rnacentral:rRNA from 1 species
UACAGGGGGGGCAAGCGUUGUUCGGAAUUACUGGGCGUAAAGGGCUCGUAGGCGGCCAACUAAGUCACACGUGAAAUCCCCAGGCUUAACCUGGGAACUGCGUGUGAUACUGGAUGGCUUGAAUUCGGGAGAGGGAUGCAGAAUUCCAGGUGUAGCGGUGAAAUGCGUAGAUAUCUGGAGGAAUACCGGUGGCGAAGGCGGCAUCCUGGACCGACAUUGACGCUGAUGAGCGAAAGCUAGGGAGCAAACGGG